GCGCGGCUAGCUCAGCUGGCUAGAGCACUGUCCUCACACGACAGGGGUCACAGGUUCAAAUCCUGUGCCGCGCA
rfam:Elusimicrobia bacterium RIFOXYB2_FTLL_62_6 rifoxyb2_full_scaffold_5602, whole genome shotgun sequence.